ACCUUGUAAUUGAAACUACUUUCCUGUGGAACAUCAAUAUUCUUGUUUCUCUGUGUUAAGCACACAGAAUAAAGAAUCAGGAUGAUGCCCCACAACAUUUGCCUAGGUAUUAGAAAGCCAUCCUGAGGUACAUGGAAGGAAAUCGUGAUUUAUGUGGCCCCAAGAUAAGAUGGAAAAAGAGAUAAAUGGAAAUACAAACUGUGAGCAGUUUCUGCUAUGAACUGUAAACAUCAAUGCAGACUUUUUUGACAGAUGGAGUGGUUCUAUUUUGUUGGUUUUCGGAACUGAGAUCAUAAUUAAGAGGGGUGCUUGGGACAUACGUAUUGUGCCACUAAAGGUGAAAUUUUUGGACUAGUGCAAGACAGACCUAGGGAAAGCAUUUGUCAAGAAUGUUUUCAUUAAUCAAGAAUGUCGGAGGUUUGAAGAUGAUCAGAUACAAUUCUAGCUCCGACCACAAACAAUGCCGACUGGAGAUGCAGUGGUGUUGUUUCAGGGGUAGCUUCCUGAUACCUAAGUGUUUGGGUU
rnacentral:ncRNA from 1 species